UUUCAUGAGAGUUUGAUCCUGGCUCAGGACGAACGCUGGCGGCGUGCCUAAUACAUGCAAGUCGAACGAGAGCGACCGGUGCUUGCACUGGUCAAUCUAGUGGCGAACGGGUGAGUAACACGUGGGUAACCUGCCCAUCAGAGGGGGAUAACAUCCGGAAACGGAUGCUAAAACCGCAUAGGUCUUCGAACCGCAUGGUUUGAAGAGGAAAAGAGGCGCAAGCUUCUGCUGAUGGAUGGACCCGCGGUGCAUUAGCUAGUUGGUGAGGUAACGGCUCACCAAGGCC
rnacentral:rRNA from 1 species